rnacentral:rRNA from 1 species
GGUUAAGCGACUAAGCGUACACGGUGGAUGCCCUGGCAGUCAGAGGCGAUGAAGGGCGUGCUAAUCUGCGAUAAGCGCCGGUAAGGUGAUAUGAACCGUUAUAACCGGCGAUACCCGAAUGGGGAAACCCAGUGUGAYUCGUCACACUAUCAUUAACUGAAUCCAUAGGUUAAUGAGGCGAACCGGGGGAACUGAAACAUCUAAGUACCCCGAGGAAAAGAAAUCAACCGAGAUUCCCCCAGUAGCGGCGAGCGAACGGGGAGGAGCCCAGAGCCUGAAUCAGCAUGUGUGUUAGUGGAAGCGUCUGGAAAGGCGCGCGAUACAGGGUGACAGCCCCGUACACAAAAGCGCAUGUGCUGUGAG